AAUAUGUACUCUGCACACCUUGGAUCCAGUGUGGGUGCCUGUGAGAGUGGUUUAGACAAUAUAGAGUUAAUCCACGGCACUCCAAAAGAUUUGUGCAAAAUACAUUUUCACAUUUAAUUCUUUGGCACACAGAACAUCACCCG